rnacentral:sRNA from 12 species
UGACCGACACUUAAUGUGUCUUAAACGGCCAAACGGACAGCCAGGUCAAAAGCCGA